CGCUCUUUGAUAUAAAGAUAUAAAGAGUCGAGCCUGCCCAGUGAUAUAUAUAUUUAACGGCCGCGGUACUCUGACCGUGCAAAGGUAGCAUAAUCAUUUGCCUUAUAAUUGAAGGCUAGUAUGAAUGGUUUGACGAAAACAAGACUGUCUCUUUUUAAUUUUAUAAAACUUGAUUUUUAGGUGAAGAAGCCUAAAUACAAUUGAAAGACAAGAAGACCCUAUCGAGCUUAAAAAAAUUUUAUUAAUAUAAAAUGACUACAAAAGAUCAGCCAUAAUAAAAAAUUUUAGUUGGGGCGACUAAGGAACAAACAAAGCUUCCUUUAUUUAUUAAAAGCUUUUAGCUAUGAUCCAAAACUUUUGAUUAAAAAAAUUAGUUACCGUAGGGAUAACAGCAUAAUCUUUUUUGAGAGUUCCUAUCGAAAAAAAGGUUUGUGACCUCGAUGUUGGACUAGAAUAUCCUAAAUGAUGCAGAAGUCUUUAAGGGUUGGUCUGUUCGACCACUAAUAUUCUACAUGAUCUGAGUUCAGACCGGCGUGAGCCAGGUCAGUUUCUAUCUUCAAUUAAAUGUUUUUAACCUAGUACGAAAGGAUCGGGUAAAAAUAAAGAUUAUUAAAAAAGAUUUAGUAUAAAAACAAAUUAAAAUUUU
rnacentral:rRNA from 1 species